UGGGGAAUAUUGGACAAUGGGGGCAACCCUGAUCCAGCCAUGCCGCGUGAGUGAUGAAGGCCUUAGGGUUGUAAAGCUCUUUCGCCCGCGAAGAUAAUGACUGUAGCGGGAGAAGAAGCCCCGGCUAACUUCGUGCCAGCAGCCGCGGUAAUACGAAGGGGGCUAGCGUUGUUCGGAAUCACUGGGCGUAAAGCGUACGUAGGCGGGCAAUUAAGUCAGGGGUGAAAGCCUUGAGCUCAACUCAAGAACUGCCUUUGAUACUGGUUGCCUGGAGUCCGGGAGAGGUGAGUGGAACUGCUAGUGUAGAGGUGAAAUUCGUAGAUAUUAGCAAGAACACCAGUGGCGAAGGCGGCUCACUGGCCCGGUACUGACGCUGAGGUACGAAAGCGUGGGGAGCAAACAGG
rnacentral:rRNA from 2 species